UACGAAGGGGGCUAGCGUUGCUCGGAAUGACUGGGCGUAAAGCGCACGUAGGCGGAUUUGUAAGUCAGGGGUGAAAUCCCGGGGCUCAACCUCGGAACUGCCUUUGAUACUGCAAAUCUCGAGUCCGGAAGAGGUGAGUGGAAUUCCUAGUGUAGAGGUGAAAUUCGUAGAUAUUAGGAAGAACACCAGUGGCGAAGGCGGCUCACUGGUCCGGUACUGACGCUGAGGUGCGAAAGCGUGGGGAGCAAACAGG
rnacentral:rRNA from 1 species